rnacentral:rRNA from 1 species
UACAGGGGAUGCGAGUGUUAUCCGGAAUUAUUGGGCGUAAAGCGUUUGUAGGUGGAUAUUUAAGUCUUUUGUGAAAUCUUUAGGCGCAACCUAAAAAACGCAGAAGAUACUAAUUAUCUUGAGUCUGGGAGAGGCUUGGGUAAUUUUCAGUGUAGCGGUGAAAUGCGUAGAUAUUGAAAAGAACACCAAAGGCGAAGGCACUAAGCUGGAACAGAGCUGACACUCAGAGACGAAAGCUAGGGUAGCAAACAGG